rnacentral:lncRNA from 1 species
AAAAGCAAAGGGAAGUUAUGAGGGGCAAAGUCACCUUGAAGCCAACUUUAUUAUGACCGAUUACGAGUUUAUUCAAGAUGUCACCCUCCUCUUUCUUUCUUUUUAAUAACAUAUUUCCUUUUCUUCAGUAUAUAUACAACUCCUUGCCUCCUUUUUCUAAUGCAAUCUUCUUAACCUCAACAGUUUUUGUACAUUUUCUCCAACACUUCUCAAGUAUGUGUGUGUAUUCAUGCUUGAGAAUGCUUGCCAUGUGGUACUUCUUCACUGCCUUAGACACCAUUGUCCAAGCAUUAUCAUCAUUAUUCGGUUAUAGACACUAAAAAGUAACAGGACGUUAUACAUUCAGUGUGCCUCAACAUAUAUAUAUGUAUAUUAGGCAUCCAUUCAUUUUCAUAUUCAUAUAUCAUCAUGCUUGCAUUAUAUUAAUUAAAUGCAUAUUUUGCAUGCCUGGCUCCCUGUAUGCCAUUUGCAAAGCUCAUCAAGAGUCUGGUGGCCUUCGCGUAUGGCGUGCGAGGAGCCAUGCAUGCAUACUGAUGUCUUAAUCAGGGAAAAAGAAAAAGAGUUAGGAUUUCCAUGACAAAAUAAGCUUAGGGAUACAGGUAUCUUCUGAGAUCUCUUGGAUUAGUUCUUUUUUAUUUGUUUUUGCUUCUGAACCCGGUUUUCUUUUCACACCUUAUACUGCAGAAAAGGAGGACUCUGAUGUUUCACUCUAUUUUCCUCAUUUCCUAGGGAGAAUUCAACUACCAAACUGUAAUAUGCUUUUAAUUUAUAUAUGAAAAGAAUGAAAAGUUGUAGUGGGAAAAUGCUAUUCUUCUCUCUCUAUCUUUUUUCUUUGUACAACAUUUUCAGGACCGUAUAGGAACUGUUACAAUGUUAUGGAGAAACAGGGAUUAGUUCUCCCAAAAGAACAAUAGAGGCAGCAAGUCAAGAACAAGAGCUCAGGGAGCUUGGGGUGCUUUCCAUGUUUGAGGCUUUAGAGUAGAGGCUCUGAAACGUUGUCUUUUGUCCCAACUUGAUGUUCAUCAGAUCAGCAACAAGACCAG